GCCACCUCGCCUGCGCUCUCCGCACCGCAGCUCCGACGGCCAGACCGGGGCGCGCUCUUAAACGUCCUGGCAACGCCGUUACAGCGCCGUAACUAAGGACAACCAGGAGGCCUAGCAGGCAGACAUGGAAUGCUAUUCUUAAUUAAUGCUGUUAGUCCUGGGGAACUUCAGGUCACAUGGACUGGGUGACUAUUUCAUAUGAAUUAUUUAAAGAAACGGAAGGUUCUUAAAAGUUCCUGCUUUUUAAUUUCGGGCUGGAAGCUGCAGUGAUUCGCCUCUUUAGUGCAGUAGUCAUAGUAUCAGUAAAGCAAAGGUUUUUUAUGAUUUUGAGCUAAACCUGAAAGUGUUCUUUUCCAUGUAUGUGUUGUGGUUCCUGUAUGACAUGGCUGUCAGAAAAAAAAAAAAAAAAAACAUCUUGUGAGACGAGCCUGGUGCCAUGGUAACAGGCCACUUAAUACAUCCUUUUAUAUACCAGAAUCAUCCUGACGCAAGAAAUGCACCUGGCCUGCUUGGAAGGGAAGGAGUUCAACAAUAUGCCCUGCGAUAGACUGAUGACCUGUCCAUGGUGUAUUCCUGCCUCUCGCCCAGUGCAUGCUGGGAUAGGCUCCAGCACCCCCUGACCAGGAAUAAGCAGAUAGCGUCUAGCUGUGGAGAUAAGUGGCGUACGCUUCGCCCGUCACCCCGCCGAACCGAUCACAAGCACCGCUGAAACACCGGAUCAAUAAAACAGCAGGUCCGUUCCUGUGGGGAUGCUGCGACGGUGGCGUGUAAAAUAAGGAUAAUAACAGAAGAGAGAGAUGUGCCUUUCGGCUCCGGCCCCCCCUCUGCACAGAG